GCAAACUUGGUCAUUUAGAGGAAGUAAAAGUCGUAACAAGGUCUCCGUUGGUGAACCAGCGGAGGGAUCAUUACCGAGUUUACAACUCCCAAACCCAUGUGAACAUACCUAUCGUUGCCUCGGCGGGAGAGCCCCGGGCGCUGGCGCAAGCCUCGCACCGGUACCAGGUGCCCGCCGGAGGACCCAAACCAAACCCUUGAAUUCUAAAAGUAUCUUCUGAGUCCCAUAAGCAAAUCAAUUAAAACUUUCAACAACGGAUCUCUUGGCUCUGGCAUCAAUGAAGAACGCAGC
rnacentral:misc_RNA from 1 species